GUGAUUGUUGGCUCAUUUUCCAGACGUCUCCUGGUUCUCCUCCUGCAACACUGGCACCAGAUUGACACUCAUUCACCAGUAAAUGUGUGUGUGUCCAUGUAGACAAGACAAAGAAAUGAGGAGUGAGAUACUCUCCAGCUAGACUCAGUGGGAGCCAGUACAGGAACUGAGCACUAAACUGCAUUAAGUAGAUCCAGGGAGAACGAGAAAAAAAAAAAAAAGAAUCAAAACACUGGAAAACAAACAGACUGUAUCAGGAUUUGGCUAUAUCCAAAAUGUCAACCUCAGUCUUUCCAUGUUAUAGUUAAUGGGCUCAAAAGACCCCCACUCUUACAGACUUUUGGAGGUAAGACUGAAAUGUUGAGAGGUACCUUUUUCCUUCCAUUUUACUCUUUUAAUCUUUUUUGUUAGUAUAUGUGACAGUUUGGAAAUUCUCAAUGCUCUGUGGUCACUGGCUCAUGAGAUCAUUGUUUUUCGGAGAGAAAGACAAUUAUGAAAGUGCAGGGAUGUGACAGGGCUACUGUACCUCACAUGUGAGCUCACAAAACAAGAAUCGGAGCAGAAUAAUGAAAAAGAGAGAGAAGCUUUCAAUGGAAGAAAUCCAUCAUUUGAGAUGAAAAUGGUAAAAUGACAGGAGCUGUACAUGCAUGGAGUGAUGGAUGCUGAAAAUUCAGCUCGGCUUGGGUUUUAAAAGUUUAGCAAAUAAAAAUUGAAAUGCAUACUCCUGGUUGGCAAUCAGUCGACAGCCAAGCUUUGUGUCAUGUUUUACUCAUGCACAUCUUUCUCUUUAUUGCUUUGAUAAUUCAAUAAAGUUCAAAUAAAAU